AGACGGAGGGCGCAAGCGUUGUUCGGAAUUACUGGGCGUAAAGGGCAGGUAGGCGGCCUGUUAAGUCGUUUGUGAAAAUCCGGGGCUCAACCCCGCGAAAUGCAGACGAAACUGGCAGGCUUGAGACCGGUAGAGGCUAGCGGAAUUCCUGGUGUAGCGGUGGAAUGCGUAGAUAUCAGGAAGAACACCUGUGGCGAAGGCGGCUAGCUGGGCCGGGUACUGACGCUGAACUGCGAAAGCGUGGGGAGCAAACAGGAUUAGAUACCCCAGUAGUCC
rnacentral:rRNA from 1 species